GACGAACCGUGCGAACGUUGUUCGGAUUCACUGGGCUUAAAGGGCGCGUAGGCGGAUUGCUAAGUCAGGGGUGAAAUCCUGGAGCUCAACUCCAGAACUGCCUUUGAUACUGGCGAUCUUGAGUCCGGGAGAGGUGAGUGGAACUGCGAGUGUAGAGGUGAAAUUCGUAGAUAUUCGCAAGAACACCAGUGGCGAAGGCGGCUCACUGGCCCGGUACUGACGCUGAGGUGCGAAAGCGUGGGGAGCAAACAGG
rnacentral:rRNA from 1 species